UACGAAGGGGGCUAGCGUUGCUCGGAAUUACUGGGCGUAAAGCGCACGUAGGCGGUCUUUUAAGUCGGGGGUGAAAUCCUGGAGCUCAACUCCAGAACUGCCUUCGAUACUGGAAGACUUGAGUCCGGGAGAGGUGAGUGGAACUGCGAGUGUAGAGGUGAAAUUCGUAGAUAUUCGCAAGAACACCAGUGGCGAAGGCGACUUUCUGGCCUGUUCUUGACGCUGAGGCGCGAAAGCUAGGGGAGCAAACGGG
rnacentral:rRNA from 1 species